UUUUCUUAGAGAGUUUGAUCCUAGCUCAGGAUGAACGCUGGCGGCGUGGAUAAGGCAUGCAAGUCGUGCGGUUCUGUUUCCGCAAGGGAACAGAAUAGCGGCGAACGAGUUAGUAACACGUAGGUACUUCCCCCGGAGACGGGCAUAAUUCCGCGAAAGCGGAACUAAUUCCCGAUAGUCCUCGUAAGAGUAAAGGAGCAAUCCGCUCCGGGAAAGGCCUGCGGCCUAUCAGCUAGUUGGUGAGGUAACGGCUCACCAAGGCUAUGACGGGUAGGGGGCGUGAGAGCGCGUUCCCCAACGAUGGGACUGAGAUACGGCCCAUACUCCUACGGGAGGCAGCAGUCGAGAAUAUUGGUCAAUGGGCGAAAGCCUGAACCAGCGACGCCGCGUGCGGGAGGACGCCCUUCGGGGUGUAAACCGCUUUUGCCGUCGAACAAGCCGCAAGGCUGAGCGUAGGCGGCGAAUAAGGGGGUGCUAACUCUGUGCCAGCAGCCGCGGUAAUACAGAGCCCCCAAGCGUUAUCCGGAUUUAUUGGGCGUAAAGGGUCCGUAGGCGGUUAGGCAAGUCUUAGGUUAAAUACCUGAAGCUCAACUUCGGGGGUGCCUGGGAUACUACUUAACUAGAAGGCGUUAGAGGCUGACGGAACGGUCGGUGGAGGGGUGAAAUCCGUUGAUAUCGACCGGAACACCAAAGGCGAAGGCAGUCAGCUGGGACGACCUUGACGCUGAGGGACGAAAGCGUGGGGAUCAAAAAGGAUUAGAUACCCUUGUAGUCCACGCCCUAAACGAUGGACACUAGCUAUAUGAAGUGUCGACCCUUCAUGUGGCGAAGCUAACGCGUUAAGUGUCCCGCCUGGGAAGUACGGCCGCAAGGCUAAAACUCAAAGGAAUAGACGGGGACUCACACAAGCGGUGGACCAUGUGGCUUAAUUCGACAACAAGCGAAGAACCUUACCAGGGCUUGAAAUCCGCAUGAUCGUUCCGUGAAAGCGGGACUUCCUCACAAGGCAGGCGGACAGGUGCUGCAUGGCUGUCGUCAGCAUGUAUCUUGAGACGCUCCCUUAAAUGGGGGAACAUGCGCAACCCCUAUCACGCGUUUUAAGUGUCGCGUGAAACUGCCCGGGAUAACUGGGAGGAAGGCGGGGAUGACGCCAAGUCAGCAUGGCCCUCUGACGCCCUGGGCUGCACACGUGGUACAAUGGAGCCGACAAUGCGUUUGCCAAGCCGCAAGGCGGAGCUAACCGCACCAAACGGUUCCCCAGUUCGGAUUGAGGUCUGAAACCCGACCUCAUGAAGCCGGAAUCGCUAGUAAUCGCGAAUCAGCCAUGUCGCGAUGAAUACGUUCCUGAGUCUUGUACUCACCGCCCGUCACGCCAAGCGAGCUGAGAGUACCCGAAACCCCCGAUUUAUCGGGGUCUAAGGUAAGUUCAGUGAGAGAGGCGAAGUCGUAACAAGGCACGCGUAGCGGAAGCUGUGCGUGGAACA
rnacentral:rRNA from 2 species